rnacentral:rRNA from 1 species
CCCUUAGAUGUUCUGGGCCGCACGCGUGCUACACUGAACGGUUCAAUGGGUGAGGUAGUGCGAAAGCAUGACCCAAUCUCAAAAUCCGUUCGUGCUGGGGAUAGAAGCUUGCAAUUCUCCUUCUUGAACGAGGAAUACCUUGUAAGCGCGAGUCAUCAUCUCGCGCUGAAUACGUCCCUGCCCUUUGUACACACCGCCCGUCGCUCCUACCGAUUGAGUGGUCCGGUGAGGCUUCGGGAGAGCUAAAUGGAUUGUGUUUCACAAACUAUUUGGCUUGAACGUAGUCAAACCUUACUACUUAGAGGAAGGAGAAGUCGUAACA